rnacentral:rRNA from 1 species
CCCCUGCUCCUCGACCUCUCGCUCCCUGCUCCUCCUACCGCACCGUUCGCCGCCCCACAACCGCUCGCCGCUUCGCCGCCUUCCGCAGCCGCGCCCCUUCGCCGUCGCCCACCUACUGCCCUUCUCUCCCUGCACUUUUCCACCCUCACGCAGCCGCCGCCAGCGCCUUGUGCCCCAACGCCGCUAUCGCCAUCACCUCCUCCCCAUGGUCCGCGAGCUAGACGCGCUGCCGGGAAGAAUCCACCAUCUACGGCCUUGCGGCGCUCGCCGGGGAAACCGCCGCCGCCGCCUCUAUCCUUUCCGGAUGCCUCUGUCUCCUCUCUACAGCGGCCUCCUCAUCUCUUCACGGCUGCUCCAGAGGUCGCCCCCUCGAGCAUCGCGUCCUCUUCUCCACCACCACCUCGCCGCCGCCUCCUCCCUUCGGUUCUCUCCUCGAAGCUCCAUCAAGUGGUCACUGCCGCUUGCUGCCUCUUCUCUCCUGCAGGACGACGCCUCCCCAUCCACCAUCUGCCGCCGCUGAACUGGGUGGCAGUUGCGGCCAUGGGGGAGUAGGGGUGGCAUGGUCUUCAUGGUCGUUAUGUACAAGAAGACGAGGACGGCAGUGGGGGGAACGAGCAGCGAGGCCGGAGCUUCACUAUGGAUUUGAGGAUGCAACUCGCUGGCCACCAUCACCGUCCGCAAUCUGGGCUGCCCAUUUGCGUCUCGCCAUCUUCCUUCCCAAUACUUAACUUAGUUCUUUGACAGUCUAAUUUCAAUUUUGUCAAUUUAUGGCUUUUCUAGGCAAUGAUGUGAGACAGAAAAGAAGAGGAAGACGUUGGUGAAGGAGAGGGCAGCACAAAUGUACACCGCUGUGGCCAGGUUAUUUCAUACGACACAGCCACAGGUGAUGUACAUGAAUGACGGCAGAUGGUUGAGGAUUGAGGGAAUGUAGAUGCGACUAGCGAGCACUUACUCUGAGGUGCUUUCAGAUGAUGGUUUAAUAAGACUGUUUGGACAAAAUUCUGAUUUUUCAACACUUGUUCCAUGUGCGAAUAUUCUGGGAGCACCAACUCCAACUGCUGACAAGGUGAAGCUUAUGAUCAGUACAGCUUUGUUUGACAUUUGGCUGGGCUAAAAAAAAUAUCAAUGGGAGCUUUGGACGGCCCGAUUGCAUUAGUGCCUGUGGUUGCGAACGUCCGCCGUCUGCCGCAGCUUCGUCAAUCGUCCUUCUCAAGUGUCAGCGAUCUUAGCCGUGAGGAGCGAGCGACACACCGUUCCCGUCGACGCCGUCGUCCGUCGGCAUCCGGUAUUGCUGUACGCUAUACCUGUACUGAUUGUGAUUGGCGUCCCAUCCGACACCAGAACGAGAACCCCUUCAAUUUAAUGUGUUAGUCAUAGAUAUGGAUAUUGUUGACCAUAAAAAAGAACCUAUCAACAAGAGCCCGAAGGUCAUGUCGUUGGAAGAGACUAAAACCUCAGCAAGUUCUAUACAGCCUACAGAUGCGCAGAUAGAAAUAGCCAAUUUACGUCAUACCAAACCAAGAAGAGCAAAUACAAAUAUUACACCACAAGUAUUAAAUCAACCAUGUCCUUACCUGAAAAAACUAUGUUGGUGCACAUCAAUGAUGCAUUAUUAUCAAAUGCAGAGAUGAGGUGCCUUAGGCAUGAUGAUGUGUUUUUGCAUGAUGAUGUAAUAAAUGCAUAUAUAUACUGUAUAAGUGCCCAGGAGCAUCUGCAAGAUAGAGUGGGUGGAAUGGUACAUAUUGCAAGCACGUUUGUGUCUUCCCUGCUAAAGAACGAUGAGGUAGACCGGGCAACACAUCGCCACAUUGUAAAACGAGUGAAUGCUUUUUUGGAGCAUGACAUGGUAUUCCUUCCAGUUAACAUCAGAAAAUGCCACUGGUAUCUAUCAGUAAUCAAUGCGAAGAAACGAGAGAUACAGGUACUGGACUCGCUUGGAGUUGGAAUGAGCCGAAGUGACCUCACUAAGAUGUUACAAGGACUUGACCAGCAUCUAAAAAUCGCAUGCAAUAUGCCAGAGUUUAAGAGAGGUGAUAGGUGGCAGGACCUCGAUAUUACGAAUUGGAAAGUCGUAGAACAGCUCCAAGAGCCAAUCCAAACAGACGGGAGGACAUGAAAGAAUUUCGACGAAAGAUAAUUUGAUUAAGCGCAACUGGACAUGAUCUACUAGGUGUAGUUUCUGUGAUCGGGAUGAAACUAUCAAGCAUCUUUUCUUUGAUUGCCCGAUGGCGAGGGUGUUGUGGCGCUCGGUGCAAAUUGCCUUUAACAUUACUCCUUCAAAUUUGGUCAGGUUUUAUUCCGGGCUACUGCGCUAAUCCGUACGUGGUCAUUACUCACUCCGACGGAGGCCAGGGCGCGUUUGGUUACUGGAUCUGUCCGGUGGGAGAUGGUAGCGCGGGAUAUCUUCAACCGGUUUGGAUGACGGUCAUGUAAUAGGAUAGGCGCUUAGUUUACCUAUCUCUCUUUAUUAUGCCAACCGGUUGUGGCUUUUGAGCCUUGUUUUACUUUGCUAGCUCUUUGUGAGCCAGCAUCCUUUAUUGCAGCACUUUGCAAGACAUUGUUAAACUAUUUUAUUUAUAAAUGUGGCCGUAUGCAUCGUUCUGAUGCAGAGGCAGGGGAAUCCCCCCUUUUCGGAAAAAAAUGAAAGAAUUUCG